CCUACGGGCGGCAGCAGUGGGGAAUUUUGGACAAUGGGCGCAAGCCUGAUCCAGCCAUGCCGCGUGUGGGAAGAAGGCCUUCGGGUUGUAAACCACUUUUGUGGAACGCUCGGUACCUGAAGAAUAAGCACCGGCUAACUACGUGCCAGCAGCCGCGGUAAUACGUAGGGUGCGAGCGUUAAUCGGAAUUACUGGGCGUAAAGCGUGCGCAGGCGGUUAUGCAAGACAGAUGUGAAAUCCCCGGGCUCAACCUGGGAACUGCAUUUGUGACUGCAUAGCUGGAGUGCGGCAGAGGGGGAUGGAAUUCCGCGUGUAGCAGUGAAAUGCGUAGAUAUGCGGAGGAACACCGAUGGCGAAGGCAAUCCCCUGGGCCUGACUGACGCUCAUGCACGAAAGCGUGGGGAGCAAACAGGAUUAGAUACCCUAGUAGUC
rnacentral:rRNA from 1 species